AUUUUUUUUUUUUGAUAACACAAAGCGGGAGAAUUUUGAUAAUCGCGCCUCACAUCUGGUGAAAAUAUAAAGUUCCUAGUUUGUUCCCUCAAGACGACGAACAUGCAAUUAUUCUUCGAUCCUUCGUAGGCACUCCGGCGGACUUGAAGCUGAUGACUCCACCCCCUCUCAAGCGUCUGCAGCGAUGACAUAUAUGAACAAAGUUGGGUAAAAAGAAAGGUUUUCCAUUGGGAUUGAAGUAGUCUAUCAUUCUGAAGAAGACCGUACAGGAAAUAUGUUUGGAGAAGCAAGCGUCACAGAUGAGACUUCCAGCAAUUUGGUGCCAAGCAGGUAGUUUGACCUGAUGUUUAUGAAAUGUCAGCUAAACAGGAAGACAAGGAGCCUGUAUUUGACAGUGAAGACUAUUGUAGGAAUGCCUGAAGUAAGUUCCGAGUUUGCACAAAAUGUUACCUUCAACUGAAACGAAAUCCAAAACUCUCUGCCCACUGGCCAUCUUGAUGCCACAACAAUUGCAUAUUUGAUGAUUAAACUAGAUGAUCUAUUAUUUGUGAUUUCAUUCGAAGUUGAUAGCUUUAUUCUUAACAUUCUGAAUGUGUUUGAAUGCUUGAUGCUGAUAGCUUUAUUUGUAGCAUUAUGAUUUGUGUUUGAAUGCUUGAAGCUGGUAGCUUUAAAAACUUAUAUGUAGAAGGUUAGGGGCUUGACAACUUGGUUUCUGGUUUUGGGUCUGAUAGUUGUUGUCUUUGUGUUGGUUUGGUAGUCUGUUGUGCAUGCUUCCUGUUUAGCUUUCUCAUUAUUGUUGGUUAUUUGUGGAGUUCAGUUUCUGGUUUUAGUUUAGUGUUGAUCCUUGUUAUUUUGAACAAAACCCAUGUCUGGUAAAAUGUUGUUUGUCUGUGAUGGAUCUUUUUUCUCUGGGUUGAAUGUACAUGAACGGUUAUCAAGGUUUCAAAAUAUUAUCGUUUGGGGUUUCCAAGGGUUAGGGUCACUUGAUCUGUCUUAUAAUCUGUUGAAUGAUGGAUUUUAGUGGGAAUUUGUUUUCUUGGAAUCUGCUAGUUUCAUUGCUGAAAUUGAGUUUUAUAAGGUAUCUUAAUACGGAGGAGAAUUCCUUUGUGGGUCCUGUUCCUGAAUGGAUUGUAGGGAUGAAAGGGCUUUAGAAUUUGGAUCUCUCGGAUAAUAACUUUAUUGGCAUUUUGCCAACUCUGUGGGAAAACUUAGGUCUUUGAAAGUGUUAAUUAUGUCAAUGAAUUCUUUGAGUGGUAGCUUUACCAGUAUCUAUGGCUGGUUGUUUAAGCCUUCAAGACAUAGAUUUUAGGCAGAAUCUGUUAACUGGUGAUCUACCUGAGUGAAUUUUUAAGGUGGGUUUGCAUGAAAUCAUGCUCUCCGAAAAAUGUUUCUUGUUUCUAAGUUAAAGUACGGCUGGCUCACUUGGCUGGUUGCUUAUCCAGGGCCCUACACUAGGCGUAUUUCCUGCUGCAAGUCCUGCGAUGCGAUCUUGUAUUGCAGAUUGAACUACUGUUGUGCCAGCCUUUGUUUUCCGUUUCGAAUUUGUCAUUAUUAUAGCUAAUCACACUCUUAUUUGAACAUGAUAUUCCUUCCAAUAACUUUCCCUUUUAAUUGGUUUGCAGAAUACUGAAGCCUGUUAGAUGUUAAACUAAAAUUUCUUGAUGAGCCUACAGACAAAACUAUUGAUUUUUCUAGUAAAGCUUCAUCAUUAGGUUGUAUCAGGUAAUGUGGAAUCCUUCCUCAAGGUAACAUCAAAGCUGAAGCAUGGAGCAACUAACGAUGAUUACACAGAAUAAGCUGCAAUUGACCUGGUAGUGAAACUCAUUGCUGCAUCCUUCCUACCCUACCAAAGAAUUCUCUGAGCUAAUUUUUUAUAUUCAUGCUGACAUGAUUUAUGUCAUCCCAGAUCCUGGUUGAUGGAUUUUGGUCCAGUCAUAUUAUCAGGAACAAGUCAUGUUUUAUAGUCUGUUAUCUUUUCUUUGCAUCUCAAGUUUCUACUAUACUUUUUUAAACCUUUUGCUGGCGUUUUUGGUAUAGUGGCAACUAGUCUGCUACUAAUGAGCUCUUUAGGUUGUUUUUUUGUGCCUAUUUUAGUUUCAGCUUGUUCAUAAAUUCACAUUCAGGUUGCAAUUCGUGAAGACUGUGCAUACUGUUAGUGUUAUUGAUAUGCAGACUGAAAGCUUCUUUGGUAAAAUUGAUACACUUAGUUCAGAGAAAUAAAUUGAUAUACUUCGUUUCAUUCUCUCUUUUCUCUGUUCUAUUUCUUCCCCUACUGGUUCUUAUUUUUCCCGCCUAAUUGUAUCUGCAAGUAGGCUUAGUACACUGAGAUUCACCCUUAUCAGCAUUGUGUAGAUUAAAGAAGUGUGCUUUUCUCCAGUUUGUGUAUGCUUUCGUCUUGCAUUCACUUCAAUAAAAUAAAUAUUAUGGAGUACCUGCUAAUUAGUAUUUGUCAUUUAUCUUGGGUGUAAGACUGCAUCACUUAGAGCUCUAAAUAUGGUAUCAUUAAGGUAAGAGAAUGCAGAAUUUUACUGUGUGAAGUGCAAACUUAAUCAAUCAGGUAAAUAUGUAGCCUAAUGUAACUGUAUAAGCAACAAAUGACCACUUUGUCUUUUGUUUGUUUGGGAAACAAGUCAGUAGAUCAUGUUAGCCGCACCCCAUAUGUUAAAACUGAUUUACUUAAUAUUCUUCUGAUAUUUAUUUGUCUUUUUGAGCUUCUUAUUGAACGGUAAAUUUUAUUCACUUAUUGCAGGGAAAAUGGUUCCUCCAAAUGCAAAAGUGGUUCUUUCCAAUGAGAAAAUGGAUCUUCCAACCUUCGUUGCUGAGAUCUAAAAGGAACUAUAUGCCACCUCAAUUACUUGCAAGAAGACAUGAUUAUCUUAUUUUAUUUUAUUUUAUUUUUUGUUGUUUAGAUCGAACGAAAAUUGAUUAUCUUUUAGGCUUAGAACUUAAAAACGAGAUGAUGGACAUGUGAUUGUUGGUUUCACCUAACCUGGAAUUUUAGAUGAUAUUAAAAUUCUUGAGUAAUGAAAAUCACAUAUUAUUUUUA